rnacentral:RNase_P_RNA from 1 species
GCAAGCCGAAGGGCAGCCACCGGUUUUUACAUUUAGGUGUAAUUUAAACUGAGGAAACUCCACCCAUCAUACAGAACCGUGAUGCCAUAAGGCAUCUGCUGAGAGGCAGGACACUGGAGCAGAAACGAUACGUUUCCUUGAUGGUUGAACAUGAAGCGCAAGCGGAUGGACAUCAGGAAAAAACGGUGAAACGGCCAUUCCACGGGAUGUAAGGACAAAUGCUGCUGAUGAAUCCUGUAUGAAGCAGAGGUAGUCCGCAUAGAUGAAUGCUGCCACGAACAGAAGGUGGGUUACUCUCGGCAUGC